rnacentral:rRNA from 1 species
GACGAACGCUGGCGGCGUGCCUAAUACAUGCAAGUAGAACGCUGAAGAGAGGAGCUUGCUCUUCUUGGAUGAUUUGCGAACGGGUGAGUAACGCGUAGGUAACCUGCCUUGUAGCGGGGGAUAACUAUUGGAAACGAUAGCUAAUACCGCAUAACAAUAGGUGACACAUGUCAUUUAUUUGAAAGGGGCAAUUGCUCCACUACAAGAUGGACCUGCGUUGUAUUAGCUAGUAGGUGAGGUAACGGCUCACCUAGGCGACGAUACAUAGCCGACCUGAGAGGGUGAUCGGCCACACUGGGACGGAGACACGGCCCAGACUCCUACGGGAGGCAGCAGUAGGGAAUCUUCGGCAAUGGGGGCAACCCUGACCGAGCAACGCCGCGUGAGUGAAGAAGGUUUUCGGAUCGUAAAGCUCUGUUGUAAGUCAAGAACGAGUGUGAGAGUGGAAAGUUCACACUGUGACGGUAGCUGACCAGAAAGGGACGGCUAACUACGUG